rnacentral:rRNA from 1 species
GACGAACGCUGGCGGCGUGCCUAAUACAUGCAAGUAGAACGCUGAAGGAGGAGCUUGCUCUUCUGGAUGAGUUGCGAACGGGUGAGUAACGCGUAGGUAACCUGCCUGGUAGCGGGGGAUAACUAUUGGAAACGAUAGCUAAUACCGCAUAACAGUAGAUGUUGCAUGACAUUUACUUAAAAGGUGCACUUGCAUCACUACCAGAUGGACCUGCGUUGUAUUAGCUAGUUGGUGGGGUAACGGCUCACCAAGGCGACGAUACAUAGCCGACCUGAGAGGGUGAUCGGCCACACUGGGACUGGGACAAGGCCCAGACUCCUACGGGAGGCAGCAGUAGGGAAUCUUCGGAAAUGGACGGAAGUCUGACCGAGCAACGCCGCGUGAGUGAAGAAGGUUUUCGGAUCGUAAAGCUCUGUUGUAAGAGAAGAACGAGUGUGAGAGUGGAAAGUUCACACUGUGACGGUAUCUUACCAGAAAGGGACGGCUAACUACGUG